rnacentral:lncRNA from 1 species
GCCAAGAGGCAGCAAUCGAGCUGCCAUGAAGAAACACGUGGUAGUGAGUGCUAAGGGCUCUCUUGCUAAGUUCAAAGAGGCAGCUGUGGGUGUGACCAGCUCUUGGGUAUUCGGCAGGUGGAGGAGAGGUUGGGGUGACUGUGAGUUGAACGCUCAGUUUACAACAGUGGCCUCUGGGCCUCCUGAGCAAACUUGGUUUGAACUUCACCUCAAGGCUGAUGGAAGUGUUAAGCAGAAAGUGUGGGUUGAACUCUCAAUAUGGUUGGAUCCCUCCUGUAACAAACUGUGUGGGUUAGAGGUGUCACAGAAGUGGAGGAAGACAAGUGUGGAGUGGGGACACCUGAAAAGGGUGUAUCCAGGUGAUACAGGUGGGCUGUUGAUUGCCACCGGGAAGCAGAGUGGGUCCAAGCUAAAACCCACCUCUGGCCCUUGUUCUUGUUGGCAUCUGGCUCUCCUCCCAGGGGAUCUGAAGGUUUCUUUUGUUUGUUUUGGGGUACCAGGGAUUGAACCCAGGGGCACCAGGCCACUGAGCCACAUCCCCAGCCCUAUUUUGUAUUUUACUUAGAGACAGGGUCUCACUGAGUUGCUUAGUGCCUCGCUUUUGCUGAGGCUGGCUUUGAACUUGAAAUCCUCCUGCCUCAGUCUCCUGCACCGCUGGGAUUACAGGCAUGUACCACCAUGCCUGGCUGGAUCUGAGGGUUUUGAUACCAGAGUCCUCUGCAGCCACAGGGACAGCCUGGAAGCAGACUCCUCUGGAAGAUGCAGUUAUUAGUCAAACCAGUUUGUCAGCAGACAAGGUUGUUGGGGGCAGUCUCUGAUUUUUACCCUUGCCCUUGUCCCCACCCCAAGCCAGCUAGCUGAGUACCCACUCCCUCUGACCCAGGCUGACCACUUGUGCUACAGUACUUUGUACUUCUCUCUGCAUUUGGGACAAUACGCUCAGAAAUGACACAUUUGACUUAGAAGUAGCUGAAGAUGGUAUCUAAUACAACCCCCUUCAGACUGGCCUGGGAAAGUGGUGUUCACAAAGUUAUACAGCCAGAUAACUAGUGGCUAAAGACGUGCUAGGGACAUUUUUAAGGCUCUAACUGCACUCUCACGGCCAGAGGUAGGGCAUCCCUGUCAUUCUUGUUCUACAUGUGAAGAAACUGAGCACCCAGGACUCUACAUGGUAAGGGGAGGGGCUGAGAAUGGAAUGGGAGCCUGCUUCUGGGGCUUCUGGCUUGCUGGGGGUGGGGUUGGGGAAGGGUUGAUCCUCUGUCACCAGAGGCAGCCUUCCAGGCGUGCUCCAGCCACUGCAGGCUACAGUGGGAGGUCAGGCCCCUUUGCCUCUCCAGGCUGGCUCCCCCUCUUGGCUUUGCCCUGCCCCCACCCCACCCCCCAGGGCCCGGCUGAGCACUGAGCUUGCAGGAAACUCACUUCCUGAAGCUGGGGCUUCCCCACAGAAGGGAGGUGGAGGGAUGAGGGCUUGCGGGCCAGCCUGAGGGAUGACUGCUGAGGCCACAUUGUGUCCUAGGAACUUAGGGUAGCUGUUCACCUCAGGAUAUGGGCAGCAUCUCUUCUAGGUAUAUGAUUCCGGUGGAGGAGGCAGGUCAUACAGGGUUAAAGUGUUUUGGGAUUGGAGCUGCCUCAGUCAGGACCGCAGAAAACAAAGGGAAGGAAGUAUGCGGGUCCCCCAUGUCAGGUUGGGUCCCCAUGAGGGCUGCUGGCUUUUCCAAAAUAGCUAGUAUCUGCACAGGGGGUGGGGCCAUAGCCUGGAGGGGAGUGUAGUCCGGUGAGUGGGGGUUCUAUGAGCCACACACAAAGCCUUGUGCUGAGACACUGCAUUCCUGCUGGCUGGGCUUCCUGUUUCCAGAUACAUUCCUGCCCCAGAGUCACCACGGAGACUGCUUGGAAUCUGGCCCCACAUUCUCCAAAUUCAGAGCAAGAUCUGGCAAAGGCACCCUCCCUUUACCUCCCCACUCUCACAUUGGAGGAAGGAAGCCACCUGGCCUGUGUGGGGUGUGGCACAGCUGGGGAAUUUGAUGCCUACAUCUUCUUGGAUUUGCAGAAGGCAGUUCUGCCAGGUCCAGCAUCCUCAGUUUCCCUAGUAUUUGGAGAAGAGGGAUGGGGUUGGGAUAUCCAGAAGGAUUGGGCCAGGAGGGGGCAGUCCAGCAGACCCAUGGCUAGCAGUGGAGGGCCUGGCCUGAACAUCAAGGUGUUGAGAAAUGACAAGUAAUGGCGAUUCAGGGAACUAGCUGUCAUUUUGCAUGCUGGGGGAUUGCCUGUGGACCUCAGUUUCCUUAUAAAAUCAGAAAAUCUGAUCCUUUGUGCCUCUCUGAUGAAGGCUCCAGCAGAGGAUGUUCAGGAUGGGUUCCUGGAAAGAGCAACGAGUAGAGGGUCCUCUCCUUCCUUGUUACCAGCCACUUCUUACAGUGGCUUGGGCUCCAGCCCCUCCCCCAGAGGCCCAGGUGCAAGUUUGCACGUCCGCCAGCUCCCUUAUCUGCCUCCAGGGGAUUUGAGUCCUCCUGACGUUUUUUUUUUUUCCCCCCAACCCUGCACCCUCCCCCAGGUGGGGAUGUUUCCUUAAAAGCCACCUGCCCUCAUCUGGUCAUCAGGCUGUCCCACCAUCAGCAGCUGCCUGG